ensembl:lncRNA
GGAGUCUGUUUUCAGUAUUUAAACAUCAAAAUCAUGAUGCCCUACAAUAAUAUAAUUGAACAUAUAGCCUACAAUAAGGUUUAUGCAUUCCCCAUGAAUGAAGAAAAUAAGGUUGCAUCCCAGGAGCUCUACAAGAAUGUUACAGAGUGAUGAAUGCAGCCAAGGAAAACAUGAAGAAAAGAAAGUGGAAAAUAACACAGGUUAGAAGACAAUGGGAAGAAUUGCCAUCGGAUCGGACUAACCACAGCUGACAACCAGAGAUGCACACACACACCCAUCCACUAACACACACACACACACACACACACACACACACACACACACACACACACACACACACACGAAAAGAGCACUGCAACUUUACAAUUGGUCAAGUACCCAUGAUUCGAGGAUCCUAAAUUGGGAGAACUCAUUGGAUUAAAGGUACCUCAGUUCACAUUUUGUUUGGCUCUGAAUGUAUGUAUGUGUGUGAGUGGGCCCACGUGAGUUAAUAUGGUUAUGUUGCAUUGCAAUUGCAAUAUCUAAGGAACAGUUUGAUAAUGUUUUUCCAUUGAACUUGGGAUCAAGUUUAAAUUGCCUUAUUUGUGCAUUUAGAGUAACACAGUUAAAAGGUGUAGUGUAAAAAGGGCAAUCUGACUAAAGCCUGUUUAAUUGCUGUGACUUCUGUAAAUUCUGAUUAGAUUUUUUCCCUUUUUCUUUUAGAUUUAUUUUGUUAAAUAAACACUAUCAUAGUGUUAAUUUGAGUGAUUGCAGUGAAGUUAUUAUGGGUUAAAGGAAAGUAUCUAUAUAACCAGAGUAAAGGGUUUCAGUGGUUUCAUUGGGUUGAUUUAAUUUGACCUAUAAGGGCAAUUUUAAAAGUUAACAUCUUUACUUUCUAAUCAGUGAUUGAGGAGAGGGACCUAAGUUUAUUUAGUCGAGAGACUGUCCCAUAUCGAACCCAAGUGCCCAUCCUAAGUGCUCAGGUAAGCCACCCUGAGGAGGAAGAGGGUGCUACAUUUGAAUUGUACUGUAUACGUAAAAAUGUACGUAAAAGUAAGUUUAUGCAAUGCAUCAAUGCAAAUGUUGUAUAAAUACAAAGGUUAGGAAUCAUAUUUGUUUCAAGUGCUUUUUAUUGUGGGUGGGGGCGCUCCAACAUGAAUUUUGCCUUGGGCCUCCAAAUGUCUAGAACCGGCCCUAUCCUUUUUUUUCCCCCCUCCAUCGAAACAUGCUUUACAGAAACAGACUAUUCCAAGCAAAUCAUUUCACAAAAAGGUAUUUUCCCAUUAAAAGAGACGUGCUUUAAAAAAUUUGCACAUGCAAAAUAUCUGCCUAUAUUUAUCUGAAGUUCAGAAGUUUAUCUAAUAUAAUUCAUUACAAAAUAUAAAUAUUCAAAUAUGCAAAGUUUCUGCAGCUUCUGAAGGAUCUUGAUCAUCCUUUCUUCUUUCUGACAAAACAGUUUAAUGUACUUGUGUGUCACAUUUGGUAUCUGAUGGCAUAGGAUAGUUUUGUUUAAUAAAGAUAGAGAGAAAUCAAUUUGUUAAUAACUGGUCUGUUGUUAGUAGAUGGCCUUUCACUUUUUUUUUUUUUUUAAGUUGCUAUGGAAAUUGCAGUAGCAUUUGCCGUUCCGGUGUUUUUGUAAUAGAACCCAUUGGAGCAGAACUCCCUGACAUUUGUUGUCCAUGUCCUGCUAGAGCAGAUCUUCCUAACCCUUUAUUUCCUUGUCGCACUAUAUCAGAACUCUCUAAUUGCCAUGACACUGCAGCAAAACCCUCUGCCCCUUGUAGUUUAUGUCUCACUGAGGCAGAACUCCUUGAAUCUUGCUGUCCCAUUGUAGCAGAACUCCCUAACCCUUGCAGUUCCUGUCCCAUUGUAGCAGAACUCCCCAACCCUUGCAGUUCCUGUCCCAUUGUAGCAGAACUCCCCAACCCUUGCAGUUCCUGUCCCAUUGUAGCAGAACUCCCUGACCCUUGCAGUUCCUGUCCCAUUGUAGCAGAACUCCCUGACCCUUGCAGUUCCUGUCCCAUUGUAGCAGAACUCCCUAACCCUUGCAGUUCCUGUCCCAUUGUAGCAGAACUCCCUAACCAGUGCAGUUCCUGUCCCAUUGUAGCAGAACUCCCCAACCCUUGCAGUUCCUGUCCCAUUGUAGCAGAACUCCCCAACCCUUGCAGUUCCUGUCCCAUUGUAGCAGAACUCCCUGACCCUUGCAGUUCCUGUCCCAUUGUAGCAGAACUCCCUGACCCUUGCAGUUCCUGUCCCAUUGUAGCAGAACUCCCUGACCCUUGCAGUUCCUGUCCCAUUGUAGCAGAACCUAUUGGACAUACACAGGAAAACUGUAAAUAUCAAAACCACAUUAAGUACAACAUAAUCAUUUGCAGUCAUUUCCAGUUCAUUGUAUUUAAGCCUUAAAUUUGUAAUAUACCUCAUAAACGUAUUAUUAAAAGAAGUCGGGGGCUAAUGGUAAGAUAGUUGGACUUGUAACCGAAAGGUUGAGGGUCGAGUCUCGUACCGGCAGGGAUUUUAGGUGGGGGGAAUGAAUGUACAGCACUCUAUCCCACCUUCAAUGCCAUGACUGAGGUGCCCUUGUGCAAGGCACCGAACCCCCAACUGCUCCCCGGGCGCCGCAGCAAAACAAUGGCUUCCCACUGCUCUGGGUGAGUGUUCAAUACUUUGUGUGUGUGUUCACUGCUGUGUGUGUGCGCUUUGGAUGGGUUAAAUGUAGAGCGCUUAUUCCGAGUAUGGGUCACCAUACUCGGCUACAUGUCACAUCACUUUCACUUUCACUUUCACUAAUGUAUUCGGGUUUUGUUUAACCCAGAAAAAAAAAAAAUAAUAAUAAUAAAUAAAUAAAUAAAUAAAAAUAUUUCAAUGGCUCUGCAGUGCUGGGAUUAUGAGGCAUAAUAACAAAGAGCUGCAGAGUUUAAUUCUUCACUCUGUUCUUGAAAAUUUCUCCUACCUUGUUUCUCAGUCUGUAUCUCUGCUGUUGGUCUGCAGCAUUUUGGGCAGAAGUCACAUCUCCCACUUAUGUGGCAGUCAAAAAUAACCAUUAAGGUUAUUGUUAUUACACUUAAGAUAAAGCUUGCGGAAUAACCUAAAAUCUGAAAGAACCAAUAAAUAAAGGAAAAAUUAGAUUAAAAAAAUACUAUUGACUUACUUUCUUCUGUGUAACAAAAUAUUUUGAGAAAUGUCUUUUUUUUCCAUAUAAUGGAAGUCAAUCGACUCAGAAUCCAUUCAGAAUAGCUUCUUUUUUGUUUCGCAGAAGAAUGAAAGUCAUGCAGGUUUGGAAUAUUAUGAAGAUGAGCAAAUGAUGAUAAACUGUCAUUUUGGGUGAACUAUCCCUUCAAAUGAUUUAUAACGAAUUCAUAUGUAAGAACAGGAGAAAGAAACUAUUUUUUUCCCUCUAACAUUUUGGGUGGAAAAGAGAGAAAAAAAUACUUUAUGACAUUAGGAAAACAGGAGUAGCUCAUAGCACAUGAUAUUUACCUGUGAUUUAUAAAUAUACUGGCGAUUCAAAUCUCGGAGCUCUGCCGCAUUUCGCAUGUCUUCAUUGGGUUUACACCACGACCUGUUGAGCUCAACAUCAAACACAUAAACUCCCUUCCAGUCUGUCAUGGCACAAGCAAUAUAAUCACCAUCAAGUAACAAGAUGAUGAUCCACAUUGCAGAUGGCAUCAGACAAUGUGCUAAAGCUUUAGGCCAGUUCUGCCGAGUAUCAUUCUCUCUUUGAGAACAAUGAAACCAAUCAUGUUUAAAAGGUCUUAAAACAAAAUACAUUAAAGCAAAAAUAAAAAAAGGAGGACUAAGUAAAAUAGAUGUUGUUAGCCAUAUAUUCAGAUCAUGUCUGCAUGGGCAUACAAAAACUUUUAGCUCCAUCAACUCCUCAAAUCCAAUUAACGAAAGACUAAUAGGGAAAGAGCUGAAAACAGGAAUUUUUUGUAAAAAAUCAUGCAUUAGAAUUACAAACAAUGGCAGAUUCUUUGGGAUGUUCGAUGAUGCUUUUGACUGCUUCUCUCUCUUGUGGUCUGUGGAAAUGUCUGGAGUCUGAUCCAUGAUAUUUUUAAAUGGUGGAAAGAUCUGCUUAAACAAAGAAAAAUAUAAUUCAUCUACAUCAGUAAUUGAAUAAAAUAGUUCUGGGUACAAAAAUAUGCUCCAGAAAGUAUCUAUUUGAAAAGUCAAUAUUAUAUAUAUUAAUGUAUAUAUUAAUGACUUACUCUUUGGGCUUGUCUUGUCUGUUGCGAUGUGGUGUGCAUUGAUCUCCUUCUGCAUCUACACUUGAAGGUGGCUGUGCACAAACAGGAAAGAAAACUGCUUAUCUCAGAAACAACUUGCAUUCUCAGAGAGAGAGAGA